rnacentral:rRNA from 1 species
ACUCCUACGGGAGGCAGCAGUGGGGGAAUAUUGCACAAUGGGGGAAACCCUGAUGCAGCCAUGCCGCGUGUGUGAAGAAGGCCUUGGUUGUAAAGCACUUUCUAGUAGGGAGGAAGGUAGUGUAGUUAACACCUGCAUUAUUUGUACGUUACCUACAGAAGAAGCACCGGCUAACUCCGUGCCAGCAGCCGCGGUAAGUACGGAGGGUGCGAGCGUUAAUCGGAAUUACGUGGGCGUAAAGCGCAUGCAGGCGGCCUGUUAAGUCAGAUGUGAAAGCCCGGGGCCGUUAACCUCGGAAUUGCAUUUGAAACUGGCGAGGCUAGAGUCUUGUAGAGGGGUUAGGAAUUUCGAGGUGUAGCGGUGGAAAUGCGUAGAGAUCUGAAGGAAUACCGAGU